GGAGUCGUGGACGCGCGCUGUAGUUCGCACGCGGCUCACAGCGGCUGCCGUUGUUCUCACUUCGCCUCGGCUCCGACAACGGUGAGGGCCUCGCCACUUCCCCCGUUCACCUCCUUACGACGUCGACCGUCGUCGACGCAGUCGUUUGUUGUCGUCGUCGUCGUCGUUGUGUUCUUCUGCGCGCUUUCGACGACUACAAGUAAGCAGAUUCAUGAACAAAAAUGCUUUUCCUGGGAUAUUCAAUUGUGGCAUUCAUGGUAUUUUCACACGGUGCGGCGAAUGAAACCCGGGCAUUAACGGUGACUGCAGGAGAUCAGGUUUUGCUGUCCUGUGGUAUUGCUGAUGGCUCCGUAAAGAGGUGACACGGAGGAGAAUCAUUGUGCACAGAACACUGGACGAUGGCAUGGAGCAAAACGACCGUAACUCCCAAUUGCAAGGCAAAGUGGAGGAUGCAACGUGGGUUUUGGAUAUUUUGGGUUGUGAACAUGAGGAUGGGAAUUGCGCGUCGUCAAUCAAUGGCGUGGCACAAACCCCUUCCGCUCUGCUGAUACCUGCAGUGCGUGCGGAGGAUAAAGCAACGUACCGCUGCCUAUUCGGCGUUCAUGCAAACAAACUUGUGCAGAAGCUCGAAUAUCAACUGACCGUGAUCGCGAGAGAAAGAGGGGAGGAAACUGACGGAAGGACAUUCGUUUCCCCCAAAAGGAUGCAUCUCAGGGUUGGCCACCUCCAGUACCCAUGGCGGUCAGAACUCAAGUACGGUUCAGGAAUCAAGCCUAUCCGAAAAAACUCAGGCCAACAAAAUAUCAGACAGGCCCUACGAGACGCUGUUUUUCAUCGCCGUCGCAACGGUGGCUGUGCUGCUGCCAGUGUCCAUGUUGUUAAUAUACAAACUGGUGAAAUUUAAAGAAGGUAAGGGCGGUAAAUAUAGCAUUGGCAUUCUGGUAAAUGUUUAGUGGUUUGUGGACUUACAUGUUGUAUAAUAUCUCUUCCAUCUACGUUUCUGCCUGUUACUGAUUACGCCUAAGUUGUUUACACAUCUGCUUCCGGCUUAGCGUUGGACAAUUUUAAUUCCAAUUUUCAUUACGCCUUACGAACUACUCAACCCAUUGUUACGAUCUCUACUCUAAGUUUAGUCUUCGGCCUAUCUCGAGACAGGAGGACAAAGCAUUGGGCCAAAUUUGUCUUCAACACAUUCGCAAAUAAAUAAGCUAAUGUUACAGCUGU